CACACACACACACACACACACACACGCACACAUAUAUAUAUAUAUUUAUUUAUUUAUCUCUAGUAUCAGCAACGUCUCGUUUUGGUUUCAUUUUCUGUGAAAGACUCCCUCUCUGUCUAUCUCCCUCCCUCUCUUAACGCGGUGGAGUUGCAGUCAAGGGUAUCCGUGGUCAGCGGUGCACGCGCACGCACGUCGCCUUCGCAUACAGGAGGUACAAGGCUACCCGACACGCACUGAGAGCUGUGCAGCUUACGUCAGGCGAACCCUAUCACACGCAUUUUUAGACUCGCCCUCACCCGUUGUUUGCUUGUUUUUUUUUGUUGUUGUUCUUUCUAAACCAGUGUGCUGCGGAUACCGUGCGCGCCCAUCAUGUCGUCUACCAACGCCAUCGGCAUCGACCUGGGCACGACGUACUCGUGCGUGGGCGUCUUCAAGAACGAGCAGGUGGACAUUAUUGCCAACGACCAGGGUAACCGCACGACACCGUCCUAUGUGGCCUUCACCGAGACAGAGCGCCUGAUCGGCGAUGCCGCGAAGAACCAGGUGGCCAUGAACCCGAGCAACACCGUGUUUGACGCGAAGCGCAUGAUCGGCCGCAAGUUCGACGAUCCUGACCUUCAGUCGGACAUGAAGCACUGGCCCUUCAAGGUGACCGUCAAGGACGGCAAGCCGGUCAUCAGCGUCGAGUACCAGAACCAGUCCAAGACCUUUUUCCCAGAGGAGAUCUCGGCUAUGGUGCUGCAGAAGAUGAAGGAGACGGCGGAGGCCUACCUCGGCACGACCGUCAAGGACGCCGUCAUCACCGUCCCGGCGUACUUCAACGACUCGCAGCGCCAGGCGACGAAGGACGCCGGCUCCAUCGCUGGCCUCAACGUGCUGCGCAUCAUCAACGAGCCCACCGCCGCCGCUAUCGCGUACGGCAUGGACCGCAAGGGAGACAAGGGAGAGAAGAACGUGCUCAUCUUCGACCUUGGCGGCGGCACGUUCGAUGUGACGCUGUUGACGAUCGAGUCCGGCGUGUUCGAGGUGAAGGCGACCGCGGGCGACACGCACCUUGGGGGCGAGGACUUCGACAACCGCCUCGUCGACUACUUCGCCACUGAGCUCAAGAUGCGCUGCGGCAAGGACUGCCGUGGCAACGCCCGCGCCACGCGCCGCCUGCGCACGGCGUGCGAGCGCGUGAAGCGCACGUUGUCCAGCUCCACGACAGCAAACAUCGAGAUUGACGCGCUGUACGAGGGCAGCGACUUCUUCUCGAAGAUCACGCGCGCGCGCUUCGAGGAGAUGUGCCGCGAUCAGUUUGAGAAGUGCCUGGAGCCGGUGAAGAAGGUGCUGGCGGAUGCGGAUAUGAAGCCGCAGGACGUGGACGACGUCGUCCUCGUCGGUGGAUCGACCCGAAUCCCAAAGAUCCAGCAGAUUGUCUCGCAGUUCUUCGGUGGCAAGGAGUUGAACCGCUCCAUCAACCCCGAUGAGGCCGUUGCGUACGGUGCGGCGGUGCAGGCGCACAUUCUCGCCGGCGGUCAUUCCUCCAAGACGGACGGGCUGCUGCUGCUUGACGUGACGCCGCUCUCGCUCGGUGUGGAGACAGCCGGCGGUGUCAUGUCCGUGCUCAUCCCGCGCAACUCGACGAUGCCGGUGCAAAAGACGCAGACGUACUCGAACAACGCCGAUAAUCAGCGUAACGUGGUGAUCAAGGUGUACGAAGGCGAGCGUCCGCUGGUCUCGCAGUGUCAGUGCCUCGGCACCUUCACGCUGACCGACAUCCCGCCCAUGCCGCGCGGCAAGGCGCGCAUCAACGUCACCUUCGACGUGAACACGGACGGCAUCCUCAUCGUGAGCGCCGUCGAAGAGUCGGGUGGUCGAAAGGAGGCCAUCACGAUCCAGAACGACACGGGCCGUCUGAGCAAGGAGCAGAUCGAGAGCAUGGUGCGGGAGGCCGAGAAGUUUGCUGAGGAGGACAGGAUGAACAGCGAGCGCGUCGAGGCGCGCAACACGCUGGAAAACUACACCUUCUCCAUGCGCGCCACCCUGGACGACCCGGAUGUGCAGAAUGGAAUCACGCAGGGGGACCGCCAGAAGAUCCAGGACGCCGUCAGCGCUGCCUCGAGCUGGCUUGAGAGAAACCGGGAGGCCACCAAGGAGGAGUACAUGGAGCAGACGAAGCUGAUCGAGGGCAUCGCGCACCCGAUCUUGUCGGAGUUCUACAAAAAGCGUGUCAUGGAGGCCCCACCAAGCGCUGGGUCUAAGGACGGUGCCCCCUCAGAUGGGGUCCCCCACGCCGAAGACGUUGACUAAGGUGGCUAGAUAGGACUGCGCACGGCUGGGCUGAAUGGAGAGAGGGCAGAGAGCAGUAAAUCGAGGAGAGGUUUGGGCUGGAUCCAUGUGUGCGUGUGAGAGAGCUCCGUCGGUGAGCGCCGCCCCCCCCCCUCAACCUCUCUCCGUAUGCAUUCAUGCGACCUCUACCUCCUCCUCGCCCGAUAUCCCUUCCGCUCUCCCUCUCGCCUCUGCGCCUCCAUCGCGGCGCACGCCCUCUUAUUCUAUUAAGGUUCGCCCUUCACUCUCCGCACACCGAGAGAGAACCCACACACACACACACGGGCAUGGCGCCAUGCCCGUGUGUGUGUAUUCUGUCUCGGUGUGUGCGUGUUUUUUUUUCUCAGGUCCAUGUUUUUACAUGUUGUUGUUGUUUUUUGCUCGUCGCUGUUUUCUUUCUGUCGGUCUGUCCCACCCACCCCACCACCAAGACCACCACCUCUCCAUACACGCAACGCGCAUCAUAUUUCUUCGCGACUGUGCUGUGCGUGAAGUCAUGGUACUCUGCGCGUCUGUCUGUUGUGCGUGUAACUCGGGAACGCAAACGUCGUUUUAGUCGUUGCUGUCGCUUAUCGUCCUUUUCUUUUUCACAUCUCCGCCAACUGAGAGCAAGCGAAGAUGGUGUGCAGGGUAAGCGAGAGCAGAGAGGGAAAACAGCGACGCAAGGAGAAGAAGUCAUCGCAAAGCCGUCGAGCGAUCUGCUUGUAGCCCUGGCGCUGGUGGAGGCCUGGAAAACGGCCACGGUGGUGGGGAGGGGGGAGGGCUCGAAAGGCCUGCAUGUAUGUAGGUGCCCUUGUGGUCUUCUUCUCAUGGGAGAGGGGAGGGAGGGGAACUUCACCUUUCGCUGUUCGUGCCGCUCUGGCACCACCAACGGCAUCAUAAGUGCUCCUAUAGAGAGAAACUGAGAGUAGUACUAGGAGGCGGAUACGCGUGGAAAAUAGAGAAAGGAGGCUGCGAAAAGAGAAAGAUACAAGCGCAGGCACCACGAAUACCGGCGCACGCGUCGGGUCAGAGUUGAUACAGGGAACGAUGCCGUCAACGACGGAGGGAAGAGCCGCUUGAGGGAGAAAGUGAGUCGGGUUCGUGGUUCCGUCUUCCUCACCCGCCCUCCCCCCUCACCUUCAACGAUGUUCAUUUUCGAAGAGCAACCUCAGGUGUGCCGCCUCUCUUGUAGCUGACGAGUGCGCCGAUGCGCGCGUCUGGGCUCUGGCGUCCUAUGCGAGCGUUGAGAGAGGAUGAAAAAAGACAAUUUUGCGCCCUCCCCCUUGAUGCACGCACGCUCGGACGUCCCUUCGUUCCCGGGUGACCAUGACGCCCAGCUGUAGCCGAUCUCCGGGCCAUGCAUCGCAAAGUGAUGAAAGGGGGUCAUCCCCCAC
rnacentral:misc_RNA from 1 species